AGACCCGAAACCCGGUGAUCUAGCCAUGGGCAGGUUGAAGGUUGGGUAACACUAACUGGAGGACCGAACCGACUAAUGUUGAAAAAUUAGCGGAUGACCUGUGGCUGGGGGUGAAAGGCCAAUCAAACCGGGAGAUAGCUGGUUCUCCCCGAAAGCUAUUUAGGUAGCGCCUCGUGAAUUCAUCUCCGGGGGUAGAGCACUGUUUCGGCUAGGGGGCCAUCCCGGCUUACCAACCCGAUGCAAACUGCGAAUACCGGAGAAUGUUAUCACGGGAGACACACGGCGGGUGCUAACGUCCGUCGUGAAGAGGGAAACAACCCAGACCGCCAGCUAAGGUCCCAAAGUCAUGGUUAAGUGGGAAACGAUGUGGGAAGGCCCAGACAGCCAGGAUGUUGGCUUAGAAGCAGCCAUCAUUUAAAGAAAGCGUAAUAGCUCACUGGUCGAGUCGGCCUGCGCGGAAGAUGUAACGGGGCUAAACCAUGCACCGAAGCUGCGGCAGCGAACGUAUCACCCAAGACAACUUUACGGAGUUGACGAUUGACGGAGCGAAGCGACGUCAAAGCGUUCAUUAAAGUCGAGUUGGCUUAGGGAUACGUUCGUUGGGUAGGGGAGCGUUCUGUAAGCCUGUGAAGGUGUGUCGUGAGGCAUGCUGGAGGUAUCAGAAGUGCGAAUGCUGACAUAAGUAACGAUAAAGCGGGUGAAAAGCCCGCUCGCCGGAAGACCAAGGGUUCCUGUCCAACGUUAAUCGGGGCAGGGUGAGUCGACCCCUAAGGCGAGGCCGAAAGGCGUAGUCGAUGGGAAACGGGUUAAUAUUCCCGUACUUGGUGUUACUGCGAAGGGGGGACGGAGAAGGCUAUGUUGGCCGGGCGACGGUUGUCCCGGUUUAAGCGUGUAGGUGUGUGUUCCAGGUAAAUCCGGUUCACUUUAACACUGAGGCGUGACGACGAGGCACUACGGUGCUGAAGCAACAAAUGCCCUGCUUCCAGGAAAAGCCUCUAAGCAUCAGGUAACAUCAA
rnacentral:rRNA from 1 species